UACGUAGGGACCAAGCGUUGUCCGGAAUCAUUGGGCGUAAAGAGCGUGUAGGCGGCCUGUUAAGUCUUGCGUGAAAUCUCGGGGCUCAACCCCGAGCGGUCGUGAGAAACUGGCAGGCUAGAGUGCGGGAGAGGAGAGUGGAAUUCCUGGUGUAGCGGUGAAAUGCGCAGAUAUCAGGAAGAACACCCGUGGCGAAGGCGGGUCUCUGGGCCAUAACUGACGCUGAUGCGCGAAAGCGUGGGGAGCAAACGGG
rnacentral:rRNA from 1 species